GACGAACGCUGGCGGCGUGCUUAACACAUGCAAGUCGAACGGAAAGGCCCCUUUGGGGGUCCUCGAGUGGCGAACGGGUGAGUAACACGUGAGUAACCUGCCCUUGACUUCGGGAGAACUACAGGAAACUGGGGCUAAUACCGGAUAGGAAUCCUUGCUGCAUGGUGGGGGUUGGAAAGCUUCGGCGGUUUUGGAUGGACUCGCGGCUUAUCAGCUUGUUGGUGGGGUAGUGGCUUACCACGGCUUUGACGGGUAGCCGGCCUGAGAGGGCGACCGGCCACAUUGGGACUGAGAUACGGCCCAGACGCCUACGGGCGGCAGUAGUGGGGAAUAUUGCACAAUGGGGGGGAGCCUGAUGCAGCAACGCCGCGUGCGGGAUGACGGGCUUCGGGUUGUAAACCGCUUUCAGCAGGGGCGAAGCUUGUGGUGACGGUACCUGCAGAAGAAGCACCGGCUAACUACGUG
rnacentral:rRNA from 1 species